rnacentral:tRNA from 1 species
UCCAGCAUAGCAUAGUGGUUUCAGUGUUGGACUACAACUCUGGAGACCAGGGUUUGAUUCCCUGCUCAGUCA